UUGGCCCCAAUCAAGAGCAGCAGCUUGCAGUAGCUGUUACUUUCAAAGGGUGCCUACAGAAACUCCUUCCUGUGGUCUGUUGAUUUUUCCCAGAGUUAUAAAGGGGCUAAUCAGUUCAGUUGGAAGGUACAAAA
ensembl:snoRNA